UUAGCAGAGAAUGUGUAUCAGCGUGGUGCGACAAAGGUGCGCCUAUCGCCGAAGGUGAUCUCUACGAAAUCGAGAAGGGGAAGGUAGGCAGUUGUCGUUCAAACUUCUUCCCAUUAGGCUCUACGACAAUCAUCUUCCCCUCAUUC
rfam:Eucalyptus grandis cultivar BRASTZ1 unplaced genomic scaffold scaffold_2, whole genome shotgun sequence.